GGACUAUAUGGGAUAUCAGGGAUUGAACCCAGGUCAGUUGUAUGCAAGAUGAUGUUCAUGAUUUUACUGGAAUAUUAUUUGCAGAAAAGUACAAAGAAAUACCAUUAGAGGCCAGAUCAAGUUUUUGUAUUGGACUUCUGAAGCAGUAACAAAGCCCAGCUGGCAAUCUGGAUUCUUCCCAUUUUUGGUUUGAUUUAAUGAUUCGGUGAAGUACAUACUCUUCUUGCAUCAGAAGUAUCAGUGUUAGUUCCUUUAUGCCAGAUACUUUCACAGGAGCUCAGUCUGAGAUGCCUGGAUGAAUUAUUGCAGAGUCACUGAAGCAGCUGGUGGAAAAGUCCAUGUCAAUUCUUUUGAGACCUGCAUCUUUGGUAAACAUUCUGAUUUGUUUUUGUUUUGUUCUAUGUGCAUUUCAUAGAAGCAAGUAAAAUGGCACAAAAACACCAGGGAUUCUACAUUUAUUCUUCACUGGUUAAUGGAAACUCCAUGGAGAGUUUUUAAGCAUCCUAAAUUUAGGUUGACGUAAUAACCAUUUUUUAUUUUAGGAAUAACAUUUGUAUAAUAAAACUUUCCUGAAUAAAUUGGAUUGUAGUUUCAAUUUAUAAGUCAUUGAUCUUGUUACUCUUUUAUUUAAGUUUAAUUCUACAAAGAAAAAUAUCCUUAUUUUUCUUCCAGCUUUGUUAUGUGGUAUUGUGUCCCUAUAGCCUAUAGCUAAUUUUGAUUUUCCUGCUAAAGCAUUGCACUGUAGCACUGUAGCACUGUUGUCUCGUUGUUCAUCGAUUUGCUUGAGUGGGCACCAGUAAUGUCUCCAUUGUGAGACUUGUUGUUACUGUUUUUGACAUAUUGAAUGCACCACGGGUAGCUUGCCAGGCUAUGCCAUGAGGGUGGGAUACUCUCGAUAGCUCGCCAGACUCUCUGAGAGGGACAGAGGAAUCGAACACUGGUUGACCGCAUGCUAAAGCAUUACUUUUGCUAAUUUGUGGGUGGUAGUUUUUGUGGCUUUUCAUCAAUUCAAAACUUACCUAUUUCCAACAUAAUGCUGUGAACAUAUUCCACUAUCCAUUCUAAUAACAUUAUUCCACAAGUACUAAUUGUUUUUUGUAAAGUAGCAGCUGUUCUAAGUGAAUGGAACUAGCACACAGGAUUUAUAAUAUGUCCUCUUUAUACAGUAUAAACUCUUUCAUUUGUAAAUAUGCAAUACACAAUAAAUGACAAUAGGGUCUAUUUUAGACAGUGAAAGUUCAAGUGAGUAAAAUAAGACUGAUUGGUUAUUGAGUAAAAGGAGACCACUUUAAGUAGGCUGAACUCUGAGAGCAUCUUGGAACUGAACUGAAAGGCAAGGAAUUGGAUAUAUGAGUGCAAUAAUAAGGAAGAGUUUUUGAAGGAAGAAUCAGCAGUAACUAUGUACACACUCAAGUAGGAAUAAUCUUAAUGUGCUACAUAGGUAGGAAGUGUGUUGCUGUGGAAAGAAUGAGUGAUAAGAAUGCUGAUGGAUCAGAUAAUUUUUGGCUAUGUAGGCAAACUAUAACACACGAUAUGAUAGGUUUCUAUUUUAAUCAGAGUAGAAAGCUUUUCAAUAUCUUCUAUCAUAUAAAUAGUUUAAUAUGAUUUAUGUUCUUUAAGACAUCAUGUUGAUUGUCAGGAGGAAACCUCAUUAUGAGAGAUAAGAGUUCAGGGUAAUCAGAUAAUACACUGUAGUGUCCCUGACAAAAGAUGUUGGAAUUUUGAAUUAGAAUAGGUAGUAGUAAGUAGUAAAAUAUGGUCAAAUUAAAAACUAUUUUGAAUGAAAUAUUUAUAGCAUCUACUAAUUUAAUGCAAGU